GGCCCUUCACACUUUUAAUAUAUUAUAGAUAUAGAUUAUAGAUUAUAGAUAUAGAUUAUAGAUAUAUAUUAUAGAUUAUAGAUAUAGAUCAUAGAUUAUUGAUUAUUGUAAGUCAUAUAAUAUUUUUUAAAUUGCAUUAUAUGACAAUAGAUUUUUUUAACAAAGCUUAAUAAUGUUUUUAUUUUAAAAGAAACACAUUAGAAAGGAUUGAUAACAAAUCCUUGAUUUUCUCCCUCGUUCCUUAAAUAAAGGAUUGAUCACAAAUCCUUAAUCCUUAAUUUUCUGUCUAAUAUUUUUGUACUUUUGUUUUCUCACCAUGCAUUCCCUUCAAAUUCUCCAUCUAACGACGUAACAAAAAAAUAAAAAAUAAAAAAAUCUAAUAGUUGUCUUUUCAUAAAUAUCACUCAUAUACUUUCCUUAAUUUUUUUUAUAUUUUCUUUUCUUUGAUAUUAAUCCCCAUUAUUAUUUAAGAUUGCUUUCAUCUCAUAACCUUUUUUAAGAUUAUUGAAAUUCACAUUUUCUCAGUAUUUUCAUACACUGAUAUUUAUUUUUUCCUUAUUUCCUUGAAAUAUAAAUUUAUUCUUGAAUCAAAUUGUAUAUAUUAGUCAACGUGAAUUUCAUGUUUUCAUUCAUAAAAUUUUA
rnacentral:lncRNA from 1 species